GACGACCUCUGGCGGCACGCUUAACACAUGCAAGUCGAACGAGAGAAGAGAAGCUUGCUUUUCUGAUCUAGUGGCGGACGGGUGAGUAACACGUGAGCAAUCUGCCUUUCAGAGGGGGAUACCGAUUGGAAACGAUCGUUAAUACCGCAUAACAUAAUUGAACCGCAUGAUUUGAUUAUCAAAGAUUUAUCGCUGAAAGAUGAGCUCGCGUCUGAUUAGCUAGUUGGUAAGGUAACGGCUUACCAAGGCGACGAUCAGUAGCCGGACUGAGAGGUUGAUCGGCCACAUUGGGACUGAGACACGGCCCAGACUCCUACGGGAGGCAGCAGUGGGGAAUAUUGCACAAUGGAGGAAACUCUGAUGCAGCGAUGCCGCGUGAGGGAAGAAGGUUUUAGGAUUGUAAACCUCUGUUUUCAGGGACGAAAAAAGACGGUACCUGAGGAGGAAGCUCCGGCUAACUACGUGCCAGCAGCCGCGGUAAUACGUAGGGAGCGAGCGUUGUCCGGAAUUACUGGGUGUAAAGGGAGCGUAGGCGGGAUCGCAAGUCAGAUGUGAAAACUAUGGGCUUAACCCAUAAACUGCAUUUGAAACUGUGGUUCUUGAGUGAAGUAGAGGUAAGCGGAAUUCCUAGUGUAGCGGUGAAAUGCGUAGAUAUUAGGAGGAACAUCAGUGGCGAAGGCGGCUUACUGGGCUUUAACUGACGCUGAGGCUCGAAAGCGUGGGGAGCAAACAGGAUUAGAUACCCUGGUAGUCCACGCCGUAAACGAUGAUUACUAGGUGUGGGGGGACUGACUCCUUCCGUGCCGCAGCAAACGCAAUAAGUAAUCCACCUGGGGAGUACGACCGCAAGGUUGAAACUCAAAGGAAUUGACGGGGGCCCGCACAAGCAGUGGAGUAUGUGGAUUAAUUCGAAGCAACGCGAAGAACCUUACCAGGUCUUGACAUCGUAUGCAUAGCUCAGAGAUGAGUGAAAUCUCUUCGGAGACAUAUAGACAGGUGGUGCAUGGUUGUCGUCAGCUCGUGUCGUGAGAUGUUGGGUUAAGUCCCGCAACGAGCGCAACCCUUACUGUUAGUUGCUACGCAAGAGCACUCUAGCAGGACUGCCGUUGACAAAACGGAGGAAGGUGGGGAUGACGUCAAAUCAUCAUGCCCCUUAUGACCUGGGCCUCACACGUACUACAAUGGCUGUCAACAGAGGGAUGCAAAGCCGCGAGGUGGAGCGAACCCCUAAAAGCAGUCUUAGUUCGGAUUGUAGGCUGCAACCCGCCUACAUGAAGUCGGAAUUGCUAGUAAUCGCAGAUCAGCAUGCUGCGGUGAAUACGUUCCCGGGCCUUGCACU
rnacentral:rRNA from 1 species